UAUCUCCAGUAAAAAAAAAUUAAAAAAAUAAUAAUUAAUAAAAAAUACGAAUAUUUACUUUAAUUACUUAUUUUUUUUUUAAAUAAAUUCUCUAUUCUAUUUAUAUAUUAUCUCUCAUUAUUUUUUUAUUAUAUUUUUUAUUUUUCUUUUCUUCUCUUCCUUUUCCCUUCUUUCUCGGUUUCUCCAUACACUUCUUCCCCCUUUUCUUCUUCUGGUCCGAUCACUGUUUCUUGCUCUUUCUUCUCUUUUCGUCUGAAACGCACCGAGAGAGAGAUCGAGGGGAUUAGGGAGAGACCCAUGAGAGGAGAGCCGGAGAUGGAGAGAUCCGAGAGGCCGAGAAUGAUCCGAGAGAGAACCCGCUGAACCCGACGAACCCAGACGAAACCCAUUAACCCGAUCCUCCAUGAGCCGAGCUCCGGUGUCCUGAGACGAGUUUCGGUUGAGCUAGGCGUGGAUCCGGCAGAGUCAGAGGUGAUUUCCGGUUAUUGUGAGCGAUUUCCGGUGACUGACCAAGGGCUUGAUUUUGGUUGAACCCUCUGAUUUUGAAUCGUCUCCCCUGUUUCGGUUAUGUGUAUCACGUCUAAAGCUAUAUCAUGGUUGAUUUUGAUGAUUUUGGUUGGUUGUUCAUGGCCGGCUGUUUUAAACAGAUGAACAGUAUAUAUAUGCAACGUUGCCUCUUCACCGUUCACCGUUAAGAAGAAAAAGUUGCAGAACCUAAUCUGUUGGAGAGAAAAAAAAAAAAAAAAAGUCAAAUUUGACUAUUUUGAGAAAUUUAGCUCUCUCGCCGGAGAUGUUCUUAUCCAUGGUUGCUCAAACCCUUUCAUCACCUUCCGAACCUCAUUCGAAUCACGAUGUCUUCUUGAGUUUCAGAGGUGAAGACACCCGCAAAACCUUUACCGAUCACCUCUACACCGCCUUAGUGCAUGCCGGAAUUCACACCUUCCGAGAUGACGACGAGCUUCCUAGAGGGAACCACAUCUGUACCGAAUUGUUGAAAGCUAUUCAUGGUUCAAAGGUUUCUAUUGUAGUUUUCUCCAAAGGCUAUGCUUCUUCCAGUUGGUGCCUUGAUGAGCUUGUGGAGAUCCUGCAUUGUAAGAAUACCAUAGGCCAAACUUUUCUUCCUAUAUUUUAUGACGUGAACCCCUCGGACGUGCGAAAACAAACCAAAUCUUUUGCCGAAGCAUUUUCUAGGCACGAAGAGCGGUUUCAAGCGGAGAUGGAAAGGGUGCAGAAGUGGAGAGUAGCUCUUACUGAAGCUGCAAACCAUGCCGGUUGGGAUAUCCAAAACGUUGCAAAUGGGUACGAAUCAAGGUUAAUCGAGAAAAUUGUUGAAGAAGUUUUGCAUAAAGUGAACAAUGCUUGCUUGUAUAUUGCCAAACAUCCAAUAAGUAUAGAUUAUCGUGCUGAAAAGGUGAAAGCUUUAUUAAAUCUUGGAACAAGUGAUGUUCGCAUUGUAGGCAUCUAUGGCAUGGGCGGAAUCGGUAAAACAACAUUAGCCAAAGCUGUUUAUAACCAAAUAUAUAAUGGGUUUGAAGGAAGUAGUUGUCUUUUAAAUAUUAAAGAAAUUUCAGAGCAUCUCAAUGGUUUAGUUCAUGUGCAAGAACAACUUCUUUCUGAUGUAUUAAAAAUCAAGAACUUGAAGAUUGCUAAUGUUGAUAGAGGAAUUAAUUUGAUUAAGGAAAGAUUUCGUUGUAAAAAACUUCUUGUUAUCCUUGAUGAUGUGGAUCACUUGAAACAACUCGAUUCAUUAGCUGGAAGUUCUGAAUGGUUUGGUGCAGGAAGUAGAAUCAUUUUGACAACUCGAGAUGAACAUUUGCUAACCGAACUUGGAGUGCAUGAAAAAUAUAAGGUUGAGGAAUUGAAUCUUAGGGAAUCUCUUCAACUUUUUAGUUGGCAUGCCUUUAGGAUGGCUCAUCCAAUAGAAGAUUACCGAGAGCUUUCAACUAGAGUAGUUAAUUAUGUGAGAGGGCUUCCAUUAGCUCUUGAAAUUUUGGGUUCCUAUCUAUCAGGAAGAAGUACAAUUGAGUGGAAAAAUGCAUUGGAAAAAUUACAAAAGCAUCCUCACCACCAGAUUCAGAAAAUACUUAGAAUGAGCUAUGAUUCACUAGAUGAUGAUACUAUGAAGGACACAUUCCUUGAUAUUGCGUGUUUCUUUGUUGGCAUGGACAAAGAUUAUGCCAUCGAAAUAUUCAAUGGUUGUGGUUUCUUUCCGGAUAUUGGUAUAAAUAUUCUCAUUGAGAGGUCUCUUGUGACAAUCAAUGCCAAAAAUGAGUUGAGGAUGCAUGAUUUGAUUCGGGAUAUGGGAAGGGAGGUUGUUCGAGAAAUGUCACCCAAGGAUCCAGGAAAACGUAGUAGAUUGUGGUUUCACGAGGAUGUCUUAGAUGUGCUUAACAAACAUCUGGGAUCAGAAGUAAUAGAGGGUCUCAACCUAAGUCUACCUGCACUUGAAGUUGAAGAUGUACGAAUACGAUUGAAAACUAAAGCAUUUGCGAAGAUGAAAAAUUUGAGAUUGCUCCAAAUCGAUGGUGUAGAUCUCACAGGAUGCUAUGAACAUCUUUCCAAAGAGUUAAGAUGGCUUCAUUGGCACAAGUGCCCUCUGAAAUUUCUACCACCAAAUUUCCAUCUAGAGAAACUUGUUAUCCUCGACAUGCAGCAUAGUAAUAUCAAACAAAUUUGGAAAGAUAUCAAAGUAUUCAACAAGUUAAAAGUUCUGAAUCUCAAAGAUUCUAAAAGUCUCACCCAAUCGCCAAACUUCUUAGCACUCCCACAGUUGGAGAAGCUAAUACUUGAAGGUUGCACGAGUUUGGUUGAGGUACAUGAGUCCAUUGGAGAUUUGGAAAAACUUCUUUUAUUAAAUUUACAAAGAUGCAAGAAAUUGAAGAAUCUUCCGGGAAGUAUUUCAAACUUAUAUUCUUUAAAGACUCUUGACUUGUCUGGCUGCAUAAAAAUUGACAAGUUACCAAAACAGUCGGGAAAUAUGAUUGCUUCAACAGAGCUACUUGCUAAUGGAACUACUUUUAGAAAACUACCACGUUUCCUUAGGUUUUUUAAUCAAUUCAAAAUUGUAUCAUUAUCUGGAUGUAAAGCACAAUCCUCAAGAUCAUGGAUGUCAAGUUUCUUGUCAUGGAUAUCACCAAAAUGCAAGAAACCCAUGAAGUUGUUACCAAUUUCUGGAUUAUGUUGUUUGACAGAACUGAAUCUCGUUGGUUGCAAUUUGUUUGAAGAUGAGAUUCCUAUGGCUUUUGGGAGUUUAUCUUCACUCUACAAUUUGGAUCUAUCAAAAAACAAUUUUUAUAGCCUACCUCGUUGCAUCGGUCACCUUCCUAAAUUAGUUCAUCUUUCUUUGAAUGAGUGUACAAGUCUCCAAUCAAUUUCCGAACUUCCUGCAAGUUUAGGCUACUUGUAUGCAAGUGGGUGCUCAUCAUUGCAGAGAUUCCCAAAUGCGCCGACCCAAGAAAGAUUAUUUACAAAUUUUUACAUGGAACGUUGUGGCAGUCUAACAUAUGAUUUUAGGGAGAUUUUCCAGUUCUUUUCCAAUUGUGGUGACCGAUAUCGUUCCAUUGUGCUUUGUUGUGGUGAGGUUCCAAAUUGGUUCAACCAUAAGAGGAUUGGAUCUAAUUCGAUAUCCUUUCAAAUACCUUCACUUCCAAAGGGUCAAAUCAAGGGGUUGUUUCUUUGUGUUGUUUGUGCAUCGACCUCCAUGGAAAAAGAGCUCUACCCCGCGCCCUACAUGUCGUUCCCUAUUUACAUUAACAACCGCCGUUUGGGGAUACCCUCCCCUUUGAUGCCUGUAACAUUUGAGAGCGGUCAUUCCUUCGGCGAUUGUUCCUUCAUAAUGUAUAUACCCAAUCCAUUUACUGAGGAUGAAAUGGCAAGUGGAAUGGAGAUGACGAUAUCCUGUCGGGAUGUUGUGGAAAAAGACUCUGCAGUGGUGAAGAAGUGUGGAAUUCAUCUAGUCGUUGAUGAGACAAAGGCGAUAAUGGAUUCCGAAUAUUCAAUGGAUAUGAUGUCCGCAAACAGAGAUCGUGAUGAUGACAAUUAUGAGGCCGGAUCAAGCAAUGAUUGAUCUAGUGACGAAAACUGCCAUAAAAGAUCAAGGAUCGUUGACUUUGAAGCGAUUAUCGAUCUUAUUUAGAAUCUUCAAGUUUUAUGGACAGUAUUUAUUCAAGCCAAGUUUCUAGAAGAUGUUCAUGAAAAUUCCAUGCAAAUUCCAAGUCAACUAGCCGCUUCCUGUGCAAUCGUCUGGACAGGCCUUUGAAGGCGUCCAGACGCCUCGCAAUGUCUAGAAGCUUCAGCGUUGAAGACGUCCAUACGAUAUCCAGCAUUCCGGAACAUUCCGAGUUUCCUUUACAAGCGCGAAAAGGAGUUACAGCAAAGACUGUCCGGACGCUCAGCCAAGCCGUCUGGACGUAGUCCUGUUUUGGGAAGAAUUGCGCUUUUCUGGAAAGACGGUCGCAGAAGACCCUGCGGACAAUGCUAUCUUCCGUCCGAACGCUCCACAGCCAGAGUUCGAAUUUGUCUAGAAUUAAGUUUUUUGAAGCUUAUAUAAAGAAGGCUCUAGGCUUGUUAUUUGUAAGAAUUCAGUAUAGAAUUCUAUAGUGCUUAGAGAGGGUGUUUAGGGAGAAUUGAAGAUCUGCUAGCUCUCUAACCGUUGUCGGUGUGUGCUCUUUGUUUGUGUGAAGUCUAUCUCAGGGGUCGGCCCUAAGGUAAAUGAUUCCAUAAAAAACCCAUUCAAGUUGAAGACUUGGUUGGGAAGCGUUCAUGAUGAAUUUCGUGUUAUAGUUAAAAGUAUAACCACUGCGAUAGUUUUUGUGAUUACGAGUGCUUUGUAACUUGCUUUAUCUUUGGAUAGUGGAUUUUCUGGGUUUGGCUG